CUUAUUUCAUUAAUUAAAUACGUCAUGAAUACCUUAGUGUUUUGGAGGGGGUAAUAAUGUGUGGUAGAAUAUACGAUACGGUAUAUUAUUUUUAAUUUAAGCAAUUAAAAGCAACGAAAUGUUGCGGAAAUAAUUGAAAAAGUAAAACUAUCGCGUUCUAGUCGAUUCGUUGCAAUAAUUCAGAAAUUAAGAAAUAUAUAUGAGUCAUAUUUGUUAACUGUAUAUAUAUAUAUAAGACCUGCAAGACACAAUAGACAACCUAUAGUCGACCAUGUGAGAAGGUGCCUAGACAGACAUGCAAACGAUCAGUGAAUGAGAUGCAAUGUACGACACAAAAAAUAUAUUUUCAUGAGAGUUCGUGCAACUUAUAUAUUGAUAGGUUA